rnacentral:rRNA from 1 species
GCUCCGGCGGCAUAGGAUGGGCCUGCGGCGUAUCAGGUUGUAGGGGGUGUAAUGUACCCUCUAGCCCUCUACGCGUACGGGUGUUGAGAGACAUCGCCCGGAGAUGGAUUCUGAGACACGAAUCCAGACCCUACGGGGUGCAGCAGGCGCGAAAACUUGGCAAUGCGAGAAAUCGUGACCAGGGAACUCCAAGUGCAUCGGGUAAGACCGAUGCUUUUCUUGACUCUUCAAAGGUCUUGGAAUAAGGGGUGGGUAAGGACGGUGCCAGCCGCCGCGGUAAUACCGGCGCCCCAAGUGGUAGUCGCUUUUAUUGGGCCUAAAACGUCCGUAGCCGGUCAGGUACAUUCGUGGGUAAAUCAACCAGCUCAACUGGUUGAAUUCUGCGAGCACGGCCAGACUUGGGACCGGGAGAGGUGUGGGGUACUCUCAGGGUAGGGGUAAAAUCCUGUCAUCCUGAGAGGACCACCUGUUGCGAAGGCGCCACACUAGAACGGAUCCGACGGUCAGGGACGAAGCCUAGGGGCACGAACCGGAUUAGAUACCCGGGUAGUCCUAGGUGUAAACGCUGUGGACUUGAUGUUGGGGGCGCUCCGAGCGCACUCAGUGUGGAAGCGAAGGUGAUAAGUCCACUGCCUGGGGAGUACGGUCGCAAGGCUGAAACUUAAAGGAAUUGGCGGGGGAGCACCGCAACCUGAGGAUUGUGCGGUUUAAUUGGAUCAACGCCGGG